rnacentral:rRNA from 1 species
GACGAACGCUGGCGGCGUGCUUAACACAUGCAAGUCGAACGGAAAGGCCCUGCUUUUGUGUGGUGCUCGAGUGGCGAACGGGUGAGUAACACGUGAGUAACCUGCCCUUGACUUUGGGAUAACUUCAGGAAACUGGGGCUAAUACCGGAUAGGAGCUCCUGCUGCUUGGUGGGGGUUGGAAAGUUUCGGCGGUUGGGGAUGGACUCGCGGCUUAUCAGCUUGUUGGUGGGGUAGUGGCUUACCAAGGCUUUGACGGGUAGCCAGCCUGAGAGGGUGACCGGCCACAUUGGGACUGAGAUACGGCCCAGACUCCUACGGGAGGCAGCAGUGGGGAAUAUUGCACAAUGGGCGGAAGCCUGAUGCAGCAACGCCGCGUGCGGGAUGACGGCCUUCGGGUUGUAAACCGCUUUCGCCUGUGACGAAGCGUGAGUGACGGUAAUGGGUAAAGAAGCACCGGCUAACUACGUG